rnacentral:rRNA from 1 species
UACGUAGGGUGCAAGCGUUGUCCGGAAUUAUUGGGCGUAAAGAGCUCGUAGGCGGUCUGUCGCGUCUGCUGUGAAAACUCAGGGCUUAACCCUGAGCUUGCAGUGGGUACGGGCAGACUAGAGUGCGGUAGGGGAGACUGGAAUUCCUGGUGUAGCGGUGAAAUGCGCAGAUAUCAGGAGGAACACCGGUGGGCGAAGGCGGGGUCUCUGGGCCGC